rnacentral:lncRNA from 1 species
AGACGCUGCCACCCGCGGCGGCGGUACACCUCGGGUCGGCCGUUUUGGCCGAAUUUAACCAAUUUUGUAUCGAUUCCUGCGAGCAAACAUGUUAAAGGGCCUUGAUUAGCCGAAAAAAUACAAAAAAUCGAGACUUACCGGCGGCAAGGCUCUCCGGUGCGGCGGCUUCUCUAGCUCACAUUGUGGUUGGGUGUUCACUUUGGUCAACCUAUAAAGAAGAAAACAGUGAUCACAAUGAUAAAAAAAUUACGCGAAACAAGAAUCGAGAAGGGCAUCAUCGAAGGCGGUUUGUGAAAUUCUCUGCGGUGGUGCCGCCGGGCUUCGUCGGUAUUUUUUGGCCAACUGGUCAGUCUUUUCAUUCUGAUUUGGCCAUGGGUGAGCUUAAAAUUGAAUUUCGUGCAAAAGAGAAAGUUUUUACCUUUUUUGGCAAUCGAAAAAGGUUUCGGUGCAGCGACAGGUGGCGGCGGUCGGCUCCCCGGCGACUGGGUCAUCUUCUCCGAUGAGGGAUUCUGGCGGUUAGGGUUAGGGUUUGGUGUGGAUGGGGGUUAUUUAUACCCAUCCGCUUUUGAUUUGUGCAGUCCAUCGCGUUUGAUGUAGAUCGUCUGAUCGCGAUUAAAUGGGGAGUGAAUUUGGACUGUUCAUCGCAAUCAAUUCUGGGUUGUCUAUUGCGAUUCACUCUGAACCGUCCGUUCGCUUUUAAAUCUGGUCGUUCGAUUUUGUUCGGGAGGGAGCGCAUCCAGGCCAUUCGUGCGCAUGGAAACGAACCUCAGCCGUUCGAUUGCGCGCACGCGGAUCGCCCGCGUAGCCCCCCUUACGUGGCCUCCCGCGUCAGCGCCUCUGCCACUUGGCGCGUCCUGGUUGGUCAGGGCUGCUGACUCAACGUCUGAUGUGGUAAAAUUUCCCAAAAGUGCGUU